GAGGUAAAGGCUCACCAAGGCUACGAUCAGUAGCUGGUCUGAGAGGAUGAUCAGCCACACUGGGACUGAGACACGGCCCAGACUCCUACGGGAGGCAGCAGUGGGGAAUCUUGCGCAAUGGGCGAAAGCCUGACGCAGCCAUGCCGCGUGAAUGAAGAAGGCCUUCGGGUCGUAAACCGCUUUCAGCAGGAACGAAAAUGACGGUACUUGCAGAAGAAGGUGCGGCCAACUACGUGCCAGCAGCCGCGGUGACACGUAGGCACCAAGCGUUGUCCGGAUUUAUUGGGCGUAAAGAGCUCGUAGGCGGUUCGGUAAGUCAGGUGUGAAAACUUUGGGCUCAACCCAAAGCCUGCAUUUGAUACUGCUGUGACUAGAGUUCGGUAGGGGAGCGGGGAAUUCCUAGUGUAGCGGUGAAAUGCGCAGAUAUUAGGAGGAACACCGGUGGCGAAGGCGCCGCUCUGGGCCGAUACUGACGCUGAGGAGCGAAAGCGUGGGUAGCAAACAGGAUUAGAUACCCUGGUAGUCCACGCCGUAAACGUUGGGCACUAGGUGUGGGUCUCAACCAACGAGAUCCGCGCCGUCGCUAACGCAUUAAGUGCCCCGCCUGGGGAGUA
rnacentral:rRNA from 1 species